rnacentral:rRNA from 1 species
UACAGAGGGUGCAAGCGUUGUUCGGAAUUAUUGGGCGUAAAGGGCGCGUAGGCGGUGCGGUAAGUCUGUAGUGAAAUCUCUGGGCUCAACUCAGAGUCUGCUGCAGAAACUGCCGUGCUUGAGUGUGGGAGAGGUGAGUGGAAUUCCCGGUGUAGCGGUGAAAUGCGUAGAUAUCGGGAAGGAACACCUGUGGCGAAAAGCGGCUCACUGGACCACAACUGACGCUGAGGCGCGAAAGCCAGGGGAGCAAACGGG